rnacentral:rRNA from 1 species
UUCCUACGGGACGCAGCAGUGAGGAAUAUUGGUCAAUGGGCGGGAGCCUGAACCAGCCAAGUUGCGUGAGGGAAGACGGUCCUAUGGAUCGUAAACCUCUUUUGUCGGGGAGCAAAGAGACCACGUGUGGUCAAAAGCGAGAGUACCCGAAGAAAAAGCAUCGGCUAACUCCGUGCCAGCAGCCGCGGCAAUACGGAGGAUGCGAGCGUUAUCCGGAUUUAUUGGGUUCAAAGGGUGCGUAGGCGGGACGGUAAGUCAGCGGUAAAAAUGCGGAGCUCAACUCCGUCGAGCAGGUGACA